GGAAGUAAAAGUCGUAACAAGGUUUCCGUAGGUGAACCUGCGGAAGGAUCAUUAAUGAUUUUUUAAGCAAACCGAGCGAAAGCGAGGUUUUGCGAAUAUAUUUAAAACCCCCCACUCUUUAUAAAAGAAAAAAUUUUUCAUAUUCAUAAAUGGAUAAAAAAAAGAUCACUUUCAACAACGGAUCUCUUGGCUCUCGCAUCGAUGAAGAACACAGCGAAAUGCGAUAAGUAGUGUAAAUUGCAGAAUUACGUGAAUCAUCGAAUCUUUGAACGCAUAUUGCACUUUCUGGUAUUCCGGAAAGUAUGCCUGUUUGAGGGUCAGUUAAAUAAAAAUCGGUGUUGUUGCUGCCUUUCGUGGUGACGCGUCGGAAUUGAGUUGUCUUACCUUCGGUUAAGUGACUUAAAAUUUUGUAUGAUUUUCGAACGUAUUUAAAUUUAUUUGAACGUUUGAUAUCGAAUGCUUAUUAGGUUCGGUUAUCCUCAUGACUCGCGCCUAUAAUUUUUCAUUAAAUGACCUCAAAUCAGGUAAGAAUACCCGCUGAACUUAAGCAUAUCAAUAAGCGGAGGA
rnacentral:rRNA from 1 species